AGCUAUAAGUUCUCUGUAGCGCAGCUAACGCAUUAAGCACUCCGCCUGGGGAGUACGACCGCAAGGUUGAAACUCAAAGGAAUUGACGGGGGCCCGCACAAGCGGUGGAGCAUGUGGUUUAAUUCGAAGCAACGCGAAGAACCUUACCAGGUCUUGACAUACUCGUGCUAUCCUUAGAGAUAAGGAGUUCCUUCGGGACACGGGAUACAGGUGGUGCAUGGUUGUCGUCAGCUCGUGUCGUGAGAUGUUGGGUUAAGUCCCGCAACGAGCGCAACCCUUAUUACUAGUUGCCAUCAUUAAGUUGGGCACUCUAGUGAGACUGCCGGUGAUAAACCGGAGGAAGGUGGGGAUGACGUCAAAUCAUCAUGCCCCUUAUGACCUGGGCUACACACGUGCUACAAUGGAUGGUACAACGAGUCGCCAACCCGCGAGGGUGCGCUAAUCUCUUAAAACCAUUCUCAGUUCGGAUUGCAGGCUGCAACUCGCCUGCAUGAAGUCGGAAUCGCUAGUAAUCGCGGAUCAGCACGCCGCGGUGAAUACGUUCCCGGGCCUUGUACACACCGCCCGUCACACCACGGAAGUUGGGAGUACCCAAAGUAGGUUG
rnacentral:rRNA from 1 species